rfam:Gossypium hirsutum cultivar TM-1 chromosome 22, whole genome shotgun sequence
AAUAGGAGAAUGACAAAUCAGAUUUAUCCUCCUGAUUUUCAACUUUUUUCUCUUGAAAAAAUUAAAAUCCAAUUAAAAUUGCUAAAACUCAAGAAAAAAAUCUGAUUUGUCAUCCUUCUAUU